AGUUUAGUUUGUAUUAUAGUAUUAUUGAUCAAAGGCUAGAAAAUUAACCAAAAUAAUAAAUUUACUAUUUAGUUUUGCCAAUUGUUAUUUUUUUUAUUUUCUGAAUUUAAUAAAUUUUAGAUAUUUCAUUUAUACAUUGCUUAACUGUUGAUCGUCCAAUAUACUUUUUUAAUCUUCCAUUUCGCCCUUCUAAUGAAACAAAUAAUUUUAAAUGUAUUUAAGAAUUGAUAAGUUCUCUUAUUGUAUUUAAUAUAUAUCAACAGUGUCAUUGAAUUCAAGCUGAGUCAACAUGAAUGUAGAAGCAAACAGGCUGAGUACCUUUAAUAACUGGCCUGCGUCAGCUCCCGUUGAUCCAAUAAGAAUAGCCCGAGCUGGUUUUUUCUACACUAGUAAUGGAACUGAGGUUGAAUGUUUUAGCUGUGGUGGAAAGAUUUCUGAGUGGAAUUACGGUGAUCAAGUUAUGGGGCGUCACCGUAUGAUGGAUCCUAAUUGUUCGUUUGUUGUAACACCCCAUCUAUCUGGAAAUGUUCCAUCUGUAGUUAAUCAAGCAUAUACCUUAAGAAAUGAAGAGAGUAGUACAUCAAGACCUGUAGAUAUAUCAGUUACCCCUAUGCAAUAUGAAUUAACUCAAGAUGAUCUAAUGUAUAGAAGUGAUGCACUAAGACUGCUUUCAUAUGUUAAUUGGGAUGACUCAUCUUUUUCACGAGAAGCAUUAGUGAAUGCUGGUUUUUAUCAUGCUGGCGGUGGGCGUCUGCGAUGUGCUUGGUGUGGUGGUGAAUUGGGAUCAUUAACUAAUAUGGGAUUAGAAUCACCUCUUGAAAUACACCAGAUGUAUUUCCCAAUGUGUGAAUUUGCAACUAGAAGAGCGAGGAUGGAUAAUGUUAAUAUAGAGAUAUCAGAAAACAUACAUGACUUACCAGAGUUCAGAGUUGAUAUUCCCCAACCACAGGGCACAACACCUCUGCAUACAAGUGGAGCAGAACAUAAUGAGCAAGUAGUAGCAGCUGGGAGUACCUGGAGAGAUCUGGGAGUUGUUAGCGGAGGAGCUAGGCAUCCUACAAAAGCCUCUUUGGCAGCCCGAAUGGCAAGUUUUGAUUGCAACUGGCCCCAAGAUCGGCCUCAAGCACCUUGUUCAUUAGCUGAAGCUGGUUUUUUCUAUACUGGGUUAGAGGAUCAGGUUCGUUGUUUUUACUGUGACGGUGGUCUGGGCAAAUGGGAGGCGGGCGAUAUACCGUGGCGAGAGCACGCGCGUUGGUUUCCACAGUGCGGAUACGUGUUACUCAUGAAGGGGCAGCAGUUUGUUGAUACGGCCCGUAGCAGUAACUCACGACGUACGGUGUCAUCAGCUGAACGUGGCGUACUAACUUCAGGACCUCGCAAUGCUUCUAUAAACUUUCCGGUCACUGAGAGUCAGAUAGAGAAUUGUAUGGAAAGCAAUGCGGCGGCGGAUGCCCUUGGAGCCGGUUUGGAUGCAGCGCGAGUCAGACGGGCCAUUGUUAGACGGUUGCAGGCCACAGGAUCGCCAUUUCCCAAUUCCGAGUCGUUGAUAGAUGCUGUUCUGGAUGAUCAGUUGAACGAAGAAGCCUGGAGUACGGUGUCCAGUCAGCGCUUCGCUAGGGAUAUACUCGCUGAGACACUGCGGGUCUUUGAUACUAAUGCUAGGGCUCUACACCUGGAUGAAGACAGGUCCGAUAGUAGGCAGUCUUCCGAGAGCUCUUCAGCAUCACCCCUACCAGAACAGCCUCGACCAAUUAAACUAAUCAACUCAGAGAAGGAAAUGCCAAAGACACCAGUGGAAAAGAAAGAGAUGAGCUUGGAGGAAGAGAAUCGCCAGUUAAAGGAAGCCAGGCUUUGCAAAGUGUGUAUGGAUAAUGAGAUGUGUAUGCGCAGGUUAGCAUGGUAUUCCUGCCAUGCGGUCAUUUAGUGUCCUGUGGGAUGUGCAGUACGGCCCUAACAUCAUGCCCGUUAUGCCGUGCCGCGGUUAAGGCGCUCGUCAGGGCCUACUUCGCCUGACAACCCACCAGCACGAAUACCUUAUUUUGCCGACGCUACUUCAGCUUGCAACCAAACCACGAUAGCACAUUAUCGUUUUUAUUAAAAUAUUUAUUUUAAUAUAUGUGAUAGUUGAUAUUAAGUUUAUAAUUGUUUAAAAUGUUUGACAAAAUAUUUUAACGUGAAAUAUGGUCGUUUGUGGUCUGAUAUCUCGUAUACUAUAAGUAAUAAUGUAUGUAUCAUGUGAUUGGAGUCAAAGAAAAUUGUCGAAGUAUGGCGUACUAUAAAAAGUAUAAAAAUUAAUUAACUUUUUAUGUGUUAAAAAUUUGUUGGCAUUAAAAUCAUAUGAUUAAGAACAAAACUCCAGAUAAAAUAGUUUUUUUAACAAAGCAAAUAAUCUUUACGUACAUGAUAUUAAUUUUACUUAAGACUUUUGUCAGUAAACGUUCAUUUUACGGUAUAAUAUAUAUUUACUCAUUACAUUGUCAAAAUAUAUAACGUGUGUAUGUCGCAGUAAAGUAGUUAAAUCAGAGAGUUAAUUGAAUAUCUAGACAGUUAAUUAAAUGUCGAUAUUCAAUGAAGUCGCUAGCAUUUUGAUUAAAAUAAAGCAGCGUCGAAAACGUUUAACUAGCUGUAUGAGCGAAAGCCAGCGUUUUGAUUAAUAAUGUAAAACGAGACUCCGCCAUGAUUAUUUCAUUUAUUAUUAUUAUUUCGGUGUGAUCGUAAAGAACUGAGAGCUUUGAAAUUCCGUCUUUUGCUUUAUUGCAAAUGGUUAGGUUAGGUUAGUCUUGUUGCCUAAGAACGUUUAGGAAACUUGGUAAAACGUUUCGUUCACUCACUUGUCUGACGGAACUUUAGCGACUUCAUUGAAAAUCGAUCUUUAAUUAACUGUCUACAUAUUCAAUUAACUCUCUGAUUUAACUACUUUACUGCGACAUCUACUUAUAUUUUUAUUUGAAAUAAAAUUUCUUAAAUAUCUCCCAUUGCCAUUUUGGCAAUUCCCACAUUUUCUGUAGUAAUAAAUAAAUUAAAUGUCUCUGAUCGAAUCGUUAACUUUAUAUUGUAUUUUUGAUAAAUAUUCAAUGAAUCAUUUGAUACAUGUCAGUGACUAAUCAGAUUUGAUAAACAAUAGAUAUUCUUUUUUAAAAUUUCUCAAGUGUUGCCAUUUCUUAAAUUGAUUUUUUAAGCGUAACAUAUAGUCGAGACUUAUCGCUAAGUAUCUGUACCGUACGUCACGAAUUGGAUUUGACUUUCAGCUAAAUCUUGACUCCGAAUGGUAGGUCCAUUCAGAGUCGCUAUAGAAUUUCUGGUAGUUAAGAAUAAAUUUGAUAAAAUAAGCUGCUCAUAGACUUUACUAUUCCUAAAUAAAAUCGUAUACUAUUUUAAUAGGUGUUUACUUUAAGCGUUUCUAAAUGUUCGCGAAUAUUGCAAGUAUCUCCAUGUCGGAACGAACAAUGUUGGAAAUUUCUAAAAUAUGUAAUUUAAAAAAAUAUGUGAAGUUUCAUUUUUAAGAGUUCCUAACUCUAGAGCUAUAAAGUCAUUUUUCUGUAUGAUAUUUAAUUUUCAAAAAUGGUAAUAAUACUGUCUAGAGAUAUGUUUUGAAAUAUGAGAAAAAAGUAUUUUAUGGAAUGCUGAAAAGCAUGUCCGUCAAUUAAAUGUAAACUAUAGUACGAUCGACAAAUUAAGAUACUUGAUAAGAUAUUUUUUCGUAUCUGUAUUAAUUUAUCAUUCAAAUAUAUGUCGAAUAAGUAUGACAUGAGAAAAGAAUGUCCUUUGAAAUUACAUAAUGCCAAACACCGUCAAAAGCCCGUAGUGUCACCAAAUAAUAUAAAAAUACUAACAUUUUAGACAUUUUGGUUAUUUGCAAUUACACUGUAAACACAUUUAAUUGACAGUCUACCUAUAUAACAAAAAUUGUUUGAGUUUUUUUAAUAUUGGCCUAAAAUAAACUAGAUUUCUUGACAUUACUAUAUCAAUCAUGUAUAAAUACUUGGCGAAAAAUGCUCUAGUUAAUUAUAUUGAUACUUGUUUGUGAUAUGGUAUCGUUAUCAAUAAGCGGAUUGGAUUCAAAGUGAUUUCACUUUACAUAUACAAGAAGAAUAGAGCGGACAAAAUACUUAACUGUAAUACAAACCUUAUUACUUGUGUAUUAAAGCUGAUUUUUCAUUCUCAAAUAAGUUGGUGUUGACUGACUAAACGUUUUCCGAGGGUAAUAUGUAAAAACGAACUAAAGGGUAUUUUUCAGUAUAAAUAUUUUCAGUGAGAUUUUGUAUGUAAUGAAUUUGCUCUACACAUUGCGAAUUCACGAUAGCACAUUUACUUGGAAAUAUUUUUUUAUUCCGUUCCGCUUUUGUUGAUUCGUUUCAAAUGCAAUUUCAGUCAAGGUUUUCAGUAAUAAGUGUGUAGAGUAUAUUGUUAUUGUGUUAAGAUAAGGAUCUGACUUGGUCGAAAUAUAUUGGUGGACUGAAUUGUUCACAUAGUU